rnacentral:lncRNA from 1 species
CUUCUCUUUCUCCCCCUUCUAGUGAAACUCAAUGCUCUCACCCUCCCCUCUAACUGAAGCAAAGUUCAAGUUUGGUACCAAACCAAAACCCUAGGUUCCUCUUUCGCUUCUUCCUCCUUACCCUCUUGUAGAUCGGCACGUUGUCCCCAUCCUCCGUCUUCAUAUUCUCGGCGUCAUCGUCAACUCGUCAUCUUCUCUCCAUCAUCUGGUCGGCAUCUUCUGUCAAUCAACGGUCGGUCGGCGUCGUCUUCGAAGGUCAGUGGCUCAAUGCUCGCUUGUUCUUCACUUGUUCAGUUUUUGUUCUUUUUUUCUUUUAUACUCUGUUUUUGUGAUUUCUGGAUUGACUUCAGCGAAUGCAUGUCUUGCUGCCGUGAGCCCAAGGACUG